UGUAAGGCAGAGAUUGUAUUAAAGUAGAUGGCGGCUUUAAACUCUAGAAACUUUCAUCGCGUCCAGGUGUUAAACGAUCUUUCACCUGCAAAUUAAAACUAAUGAAACAAUCAUAUGACCGAUGUAUGACACAAAAUAAAGCAGUUGUAUGACUUUAAAUAUUGGAAUCUGGACCAGACAAUCCAGAACUGGGAUAAGAUGACAUGUGUUAACCGAGUCAGCGGGCCUGACCACCCGAUCCCGUUAGUGUCCUCUUACUACAACAAUGAGUUGAUAAGACCGAUUCUUACCUGAUGUUGGGGUCAGUAGUAGUAGUAGUAGUAGUAGUAGUAGUAGUAGUUGUAGUAGUAAUAGUAGUAGUAGCUGUAGUAGUAGUCAGGCGCAUAGCAAGCCAAUUUUUCGUGUAAGUCUGAUAGGUUGCAAAGCUUUAUAUUUAGAUAGUAUUUGAGGUAUUUUUGGCAAUAAUUAGAAAAAAAAUAAGCAAAAAUCUUUUGUAAGAGUAAGAGGGUAACGGUAGUUGCGGCAGAUAUGGGGUCUUUGAGAUGGUACCCGUGAAGAUCCGGGUUAGAAUUGAUCUUCAGCAA